UAAGGGAGUCUUUGUCAUAGAAUCAUUUAGUUCAGGGGAACAGAUUCUAGCUGGCAGAGCUCACUGAUCAUAGGGUGAUCAACAGAAGUUAACUCUGUCGAUUUAGUUGUAUUGUGACUCAGUGCCGUUUCUGCUGGGUUUGUCUGCUAUGCUCUCUUUUAGUCAUCUUAACUGUCGGGCUAUGCCCGCAGAUGAUCUUUUAAAUUUGUGGUGAGGGUAGGCGAGCAAAGAAUGUGCAGGACUGCGGUAGCAGUGUUGUACUAAAAACUGAGUAAUAAUGCUCAAAUAUCCUUAGUAUUAAGUAUCCAACAAAAAUGUGUCUGCUGUAGUUUAGCAGGCAUGAACUUGGGAAAAGUUUUCGGGAAAAUUAAGUUACUAAGGGCACACGGUGGAUGCCUUGGCGUCCAGAGGCGAUGAAGGACGUGGUAUAGCUGCGAUAAGCUUCGGUAAGCCGCUAACAGGCUUUGACCCGGAGAUCUCCGAAUGGGGAAACCCGG
rnacentral:misc_RNA from 1 species